GACAGUGUGGCUCAAGUGGUAGAGCACUUGCCUAAGAAGCAGGAGCCCUGAGUUCAAGCCUCAGUGCUGUCA